AGAGUCUGAUCCUGGCUCAGAACGAACGCUGGCGGCAUGCCUAACACAUGCAAGUCGAACGAGACCUUCGGGUCUAGUGGCGCACGGGUGCGUAACACGUGGGAAUCUGCCCAGGGGUAUGGAAUAACUCAGGGAAACUUGAGCUAAUGCCAUAUGAUGCCGCAUAGGCCAAAGAUUUAUCGCCCUUGGAUGAGCCCGCGUACGAUUAGCUAGUUGGUGGGGUAGAACGGCCUACCAAGGCUACGAUCCUUAGCUGGUCUGAGAGGAUGAUCAGCCACACUGGGACUGAGACACGGCCCAGACUCCUACGGGAGGCAGCAGUGGGGAAUAUUGGACAAUGGGCGAAAGCCUGAUCCAGCAAUGCCGCGUGAGUGAAGAAGGCCUUCGGGUUGUAAAGCUCUUUCUACCCGGGACGAUAAUGACGGUACCGGGAGAAUAAGCCCCGGCUAUCUCCGUGCCAGCAGCCGCGGUACUACGGAGGGGGCUAGCGUUGUUCGGAAUUACUGGGCGUAAAGCGCACGUAGGCGGCCUGCCAAGUCACGGGUGAAAGCCCAGAGCUCAACUCUGGAACUGCCCGUGAAACUGGCAAGCUUGAACAUCGGAGAUGGCAAGUGGAAUUAUGAGCUGUAGGAGGNGACAAUUCGNAGAUAUUUCCGGAACGAACACCGAUNUGGGCCGAAAAGCUGACUUUGGCUGGGACGGAAUUGUUUCGACCCCCUGGAUGGUUGCCAAAAAGCCGUU
rnacentral:rRNA from 1 species